UGCCUUUGCGAGAGCGGAGUUGGGUUCUCCUCAGCACAGACGCGGAGAGCAUCGCGAGGGCGGAGCUGCGUUCUCAUCUGCACAGAUUUCAGUGGUACUGCGAAGGCGGAGCAGAGUUCUCCUCAGAUGAUGAUUAUUCCCCACCUUCUAAGAGACAAAGACCAACGAGCCGCCACAGCCACCAGUCCCAGAACCCGCCAAUGCUGGGGAACGGAAAAUGAGGGAGUUCAACUCUGGCCCUCACAAUCCAGUGGAGGAGACGCAACUCAUCUGCCUCUGUCCCUCUGGGCACGCCUCGUGCCAGGUGCAUCUGUGGACAGGGGCCAUGCUCCUGGGCUUCCAAAGUUGGAGAAAGCUGCCAGGCUCAGGUCUGAAGGCCAGAAUUCUACAGUAAGUCCUACUGAGUCAAGGUGGGAGCAGGGUCGGUAGCUUCCGAGGCUCUGCGGGAGAAUCUGUUUCCUGGCCGUAGAGGUGGCCUGCACUCCUCAGCCUGUGCUGCCCGUCUCGAAUGACUGGAGUUUCCUGCUUCUGUCACUACACCUCCCACCCUCUCCAUCACCUGCUCUGCUCUUACAAGGAUCCGAAGAAAUGGAAUCAUCGUAUCGCUGAUCUACGUAAACAAACUGAAGAAUUGUCUGAAAGAAAAUAUGACAUGAACUUAUGAAUUCAAUAGGUGAAGAUUUACAACUUGAUAAAUCAACUUUGUCAGCUCGAGCUGUAAAAGCCAAAGGUCCGGUGAUGAUCCCAUACCCUUUUUUCCAGUCUCAUGUUGAAGAUUUUUAUGUAGAAGGCCUUCCCAAAGGAAUUUUUUUUUUUUUUUUUUUUUUGAGAUGGAGUUUUCACUCUUAUCGCCCAGGCUGGGGUGCAAUGGCACAACCUUGCUGGUCACUGCAACCUCUGCCUCCUGGGUUCAAGAAAUUCUCCUGCCUUAGCCUCCCAAGUCACUGGGAUUACAGGUGCCCACCACCACACCAGGCUAAUUUUUGUAUUUUUAGUGGAGAUGCGGUUUCACCAUGUUGGCCGGGCCAGUCUCGAACUCCUGACGUCAAGUGAUCUUCCCGCCUCGACUCCUGAUAUCAAGUGAUCUUCCCGCCUCGGCCUCCCAGAGUGCUGAGAUUACAGACGUGAACCCAUGCCUGGCCAGGAAUUUUGUUUUUUAGGAAGGCUUUCUACUAAUGGAAUUCCUGGCCUUGAGAGGAUGUUACUUUAGAAGGAAAGGAUUUUUUUGUUAUUAAAAGAGCCACCUAAGCUGAAGAUUCCCUUGAGAACAAGUACUGUCCCUAGUUUCCCAGUGCUGGAAUAUAGAAAAUGGAUGGACAACUGGACCUACCAUGAAAGACUUCUGAAUCCAGGAAGAGAAACUGACUGGGCAACAUGUUAUUCAGGCUGAUCUCUAACUCUUGGCCUCAAGCAAUCCUUCCUCUUUGGCCUCCCAAAAUGUUGGGAUUACAGAUGGGAGCCCCCAUACCCACCAAUCACAAGGAUCUUUAUAAGAGAAUGAGGUAGGAGAGUCAGAAUUAGAGAAAGUGAUGUGGUAAUGGAAGAAGAGGUCAGAGAGGGAGAUUUGAAGAUGCUGCACUUCUGGCCUUGAAUAUGGAGUCACGAGGUAAGUCAAGGAAUGGAGGUGGCUUCUAGAAGCUGGAAAAGGCAAAGGAGCACAUUCUGUCUAGAGCCUCCCCCAGAAGGAAUGCAGCCUCUCUGACACCUUGACUUUAGCCUUGAUAGACCUAGUUGGGCUUCUGGCCCCCAGAACUGUAAGAUGGUAGAUUUGUGGUGUUUGAUGCCACUAAAUGUAGGGUACUUUGUUGUAGCAACAACAAAAAAUGAACAUGAAGCUGGGACCUCAUGUUACAGUUGCUCACGCCUGUAAUCCCAGAACUUUAGGAGGCUGAGGUGGGAGGAUCGCUUAAGCCCAGGAGCUUAAGAC
rnacentral:lncRNA from 1 species